GGGGUGUUAGCUCAUUUGGUAGAGCGUUCGCUUCGCAUGUUGCGAAGAUCCUGCGAAAGGUCCGGGGUUCGACUCCCCGAUGCUCCA